rnacentral:rRNA from 1 species
UGUGCAGGCGGUCGUUUAAGUUUGGUGUGAAAUCUCCCGGCUCAACUGGGAGGGUGCGCCGAAUACUGAAUGACUAGAGUGCGGGAGAGGAGAGUGGAAUUCCUGGUGUAGCGGUGAAAUGCGUAGAUAUCAGGAGGAACACCGGCGGUGUAGACGGCUCUCUGGACCGCGACUGACGCUGAGACACGAAAGCGUGGGUAGCAAACAGGAUUAGAUACCCUGGUAGUCCACGCCCUAAACGAUGCAUAUUUGGUGUGGGCAGUUCAUUCUGUCCGUGCCGGAGCUAACGCGUUAAAUAUGCCGCCUGGGGAGUACAGUCGCAAGGCUAGAA